GAUGAACGCUGGCGGCGUGCCUAACACAUGCAAGUCGAACGGAGUUCUUAAGGAAUGCGACUUCGGUCAAAUGACUUUUGAACUUAGUGGCGGACGGGUGAGUAACGCGUGAGCAACCUGCCUUUCAGAGGGGGAUAACAUUUGGAAACAGAUGCUAAUACCGCAUAAGAUUACAGUACCGCAUGAUACAGUGAUCAAAGGAGCAAUCCGCUGAAAGAUGGGCUCGCGUCCGAUUAGAUAGUUGGUGAGGUAACGGCUCACCAAGUCGACGAUCGGUAGCCGGACUGAGAGGUUGAACGGCCACAUUGGGACUGAGACACGGCCCAGACUCCUACGGGAGGCAGCAGUGGGGAAUAUUGCACAAUGGGCGAAAGCCUGAUGCAGCAACGCCGCGUGAGGGAAGACGGUUUUCGGAUUGUAAACCUCUGUUUUCGGUGA
rnacentral:rRNA from 1 species